rnacentral:lncRNA from 1 species
AAUACUUCCAACAUCACUCCUAGGUUAAAGAGGAGUUCUCCAACUAACCUAAUUCAAAUCUAUUGCUCCCUGAAGCAGCUAGCAAAACAUUAUGCUUCCUACUGGCUAACUCCUCUCUAUUGGGAUUGAAUGUUAGGCCCAUUUUCUCCAAUAUUUUCCUUUUUUCCCUCUUCUUUACAGAGGCAGAAAGAGCUGCUUUCCUCUGUACUGUUAAUGAGUUGCGGUAACUAAAAUUGUCACUUCACAGAAACGUCCUGAACAGAAGGAAUCAUGAGUGCCGAACAGAAUGCAGGCACUCAAAACACGCUGAGGUCACUGAUUAACCGCCGCUCCCCUUGGGGUUGUGACGGGCACAGGAAAUGACCUGUAGGGCCGAGAGGACGGACUGCCAGUUGUUUGCUGGCCACAUUGUGAUUAUUUAAACCAGCUUUGUGGAGAUUACCGCAGCACAAAAGCCAUAAUGACUCUUCUCCAGUGGUCCUAAGCGCUGCAGAGCCCUGGGGUGCCCCAGAGGGACCUGGGAGAGGGAAGGCAUUUCAGUGCCAGCUAAUAGGACAGGCACUGAGUCAGAGGCAUCACCGUAUUUGUCUUGUUUCAUCUUCACAAAAUCUCUUUGAAAAGGAUGUGUUUAUUCACAUCUUACAGAUGAAGAAAGUGAAAACAACCGAGUUGGGGAUACAGUCAGCAGGAGAGUGGGAGAGUUUCUGCUUAAUGCGCCUAAGGACCUGGGCUGGAUCUCCAGUUCUAAAAAAAAGAAAGAAAGAAAAAUGAAACCCAAAGAGGUUUUUU